rnacentral:rRNA from 1 species
AGAGUUUGAUCAUGGCUCAGAGCGAACGCUGGCGGCGUGCUUAACACAUGCAAGUCGAGUGCGCGGUUGUAGCAAUACAACUGGCGCACGGCGCACGGGUGCGUAACACGUGGGCAACCUGCCCUCUAAUGGGGGAUAACCCCGCGAAAGCGGGGCUAAUACCGCAUGAUAUUCCGUUGGCUUCGGCUGGCGGAAUCAAAGCUCGAAAGGGCGUUGGAGGAGGGGCCCGCGGCCGAUUAGCUUGUUGGCGAGGUAACGGCUCACCAAGGCUUUGAUCGGUAGCCGGUCUGAGAGGAUGGCCGGCCACACUGGAACUGAGACACGGUCCAGACUCCUACGGGAGGCAGCAGUGGGGAAUCUUGCGCAAUGGGCGAAAGCCUGACGCAGCGACGCCGCGUGGGGGAUGAAGCUUCUCGGAGUGUAAACCCCUUUCGACCCGGACGAAACACCCGCAAGGGUUUGACGGUACGGGUAUAAGAAGCCCCGGCUAACUACGUGCCAGCAGCCGCGGUAAGACGUAGGGGGCCAGCGUUGCUCGGAAUUACUGGGCGUAAAGGGUUCGUAGGCGGUGCGGCAAGUCGGAAGUGAAAUCUCUGGGCUUAACUCAGAGGCUGCUCCCGAAACUGCCGUGCUCGAGUGCGGGAGAGGCGAGUGGAAUUGCAGGUGUAGCGGUGAAAUGCGUAGAUAUCUGCAGGAACACCCGUGGCGAAGCGGCUCGCUGGACCGCAACUGACGCUGAGAACGAAAGCUAGGGAGCAAACAGGAUUAGAUACCCUGGUAGUCCUAGCCCUAAACCAUCAGACUUGGGGUGGCCCGCGUUGGCGGGUCGUCCGUAGCUAACGCGUAAGUCUGCGCCUGGGGAGUACGGUCGCAGGCUGAAACUCAAGAAUUGACGGGGCCCGCACAGCGUGAACAUGUGUUCAAUUCGACGCACGCGAAGAACUUACCU